AUUUGGAGUUGAAGCUGGUGCUGUGACCUGCCCCUCUCUCUAUCUUGAAGUCAACCACACUAGCAGAUACAGUCUCUCAAUUAUUGAACAUUUUUUGAGUGCCUGCCACUAGAUUUGACCUGAACAUCAAAGGUAAGUAAGACAAAGUCUCAGCCAUCAGUGAACAUAUCAUGUCACGGGGGAAGGAAACAUGAACAAGUAUGAGAGUGUCAGAGACACUUAGCGGCAGGACAUAUCAGCAAGGAUGGCACGCCACAGGGAGGGGCCUAAGAGGUGGGUGGGUGAACAGGCUGGAAGGAGGACGGCGAGGACGAGUCAGAAAUAAUACAAGAGAAAAGGCACUAACUAGUUCCUGCUCGCAGCUGGACCUGUGGGUCAGAAGGGCAUCGUGGAUGAGUAAAUAUUCAACUGCCUGGGACAUCCGGGGAAAAUGCCAGUGGAGACUCAGCUACUGCGUUUCUCCAUCCUUUAUCAGCGCACAGAACAAGUGCAGCUGAGAAAAGAGAGCGCUGACUGAGCAGAGAAUGAUCCCAGCGCUAAGGCUGCGGAGCGGCAGGCACUGGGCAGGAGAAGGGCGGGCACAACCACGCCAUGCCACGCCAACACAAGCAACACAUAAACAUCAACAUCGGAAAGAAAGGACCAGAGCAACCGCUGCGGCCAGCAGCAGUUCCUCUCGUCAGUGCAGGACAGCGGAGAGAUAAGGUAACUGCUGAACUAAGAUAGGAGCACGAAGCCAGGAGGAGACAAAGAGUCUAAGAGGUGAGAUCUGACCACGUUUAAAGGCGUAAAGGAGAUUCCGCCAAGGGGAUGGAUGCCGUGACCAGGAAGAAGCGAUGAGAAGAUGGGAGCUGGACUCCAGGGCAGGCUCGGGGCAGAAGAGGAUGAAGCAACAGGGAUUUGGAAACAGGAGAUGAAAAAUGAGAGUGAGAGAUGCAUGAAUAUCUGUUUCGAGCAGUAUUUCUCAACCUUGACACCGUGGACAUCUCAAGCCAGACAAUUCUUUGCUGUGGGAUGUGGGGUGGAGGCUGCCCCGUGCACUGCAGGAGCGGCACCCCGGCCUGUGUACACUAGAUGCCAGAGCGCCCAGCCCCCCAGCUGUGACACCUAAAAUGUCUCCGAUGUUGUCGAGUUUCUGCUGGGUGACAGAAUUGCCCCCCGGGUGAGAACCAAUGAUUUCACAGAAGAAAAAGGAUUGGGGAGGUAACAUACUUUAAACUUGUGUAUUUGGGGAAGGACACACUUUAAGGAAGGGCAGAGCAGCAGAAGGAAAGCAGAAGAGACCAGGGAGUCAAGCUGGGGGACAGAAAGUGAAAAUUGGUGGGUGAAAGGACAGAAUCUGACCAAAGGAGGAAUUACAGCAAAAUGAUUGAUGAAAGAGAAGAACGGACCAGAUGGAAGCAGAAAUCAGAAACAGGAGAGAAAAAGACCCGAAAGGAAAGCAGGGAUGACUGGCCAAGAAGGAAGGACACAGCCUGAGAGGGAAUGGACUUCAAAGCGGGUCACUCGGGGAUUUAAUGACGGGUUACUGACACGAGGGGUCUGGCCCAUUAGUCUUGUUAUCAGGAUGUGAGGAUUUGAGAGCCAAAUACAUGUCAGGCUACAUACACAUAACUUUCAGGCUCAUUAUAAUUAUUCCACAGAUAAAUGCUGGAACCGAAAGAAGAUUUGACACGUCCCAACUCCCUUUUUGAUGAAUUAUCAAGGCGGUCAUCAGCGAUCAAACCAAAGAAACAACACUAAAAGGUACACCUCAGGUCUAAACAUCACGGAUCAGACAGAAGGAAGAUCUCAAUGAAUCAGUUUCCAACCGGAAGGUGAUUCCACGGGACUACACUGGACUCUGAUAUUUUCAAAGCAUUUUGCCUAGGUAUUUCUCCGUGGUGACUACAAAAAUGCCCCCCCCCCCAACAACCCUGCAUGCUUUCCUGAUAGCCUAGUUCCGUGAGAGUUCUAGGUCUGAUAAAGAGCUGUCUCAGGUCCAGGGCUAGAAUGGAAGGAUGGUGUGCAAACGUGCCAGAGCUCCAAGGGUUUGGAAACUGGAUCUCAAUCUUCUCAUGUCAGCAUUCCCACGUAACUCAGCAGACUCUCUAGCUCCACGAGGACAGGUCCCGUGGAUAAAGCUCAGCAUUGCUGCAAAGAGAGAGGUCAGCUAAUACACAAAGGUGAGGACUUAUGGGGUCAGCUGGUUGGCACAGAGCUGCCGAGGAAGGACCGUGCCUGAGCGCGAACCGUGAUAGUCUCAGGGUCACUGAUUAUCAUGGUGGACCUUGGGCUUUCCCUGGUUCUCAUUACAUCCCUGGGCAACCAUCCUGGAUGUAGUCUGUCUCUUAGGAGAAAACUGCCCAGAUUCUUACUUCUCCAAAGGGCAGUUUAGUGUAGUGUUAAGAGCAUGGACCCUGGGGCUAAAAAUGCCCCAAUUCAAACCCAGCUCAUUACUCAUAACUCUGUACCUUAGGCAAGUGAAUUAAAAUCUCUACCUCAGUUUCCUUAUCUGUAAAAAGCAGGUGAUAAUAGAAUCAGUGACAGAGGAUUAUAAUAAGGAUUAGAUGAGAUAAUACUUGUAGACUUUCUUUUUUUUCUGUUUUUUUUUGGCCGUGCUGUGUGGCAUGCGGGAUCUUAGCUCCCAGA